rnacentral:lncRNA from 1 species
GCUGUAAUGGAACAGAGAGAGAUGAGAGUGGAAACAGGAAUCCUUCUGCACCGUGUGGGAAGGUGAGCUUGACAAUGGCACUGAGGAAUUUAACGAGUCGGAUGCAGAGCCAAGAGGCCACACUGGGUGGAGUGCUAAGUAUACAAACCCAACCUGUGGCUGAAUGCCUUGCCUGACCUGCAGAAUGCUCCCAGACCCAUCCCCAGCUCUGUGCAGAAGGGCCUCUAUCAACAGGCAAGCAAGGAAUGAAGCAGAGCACUUGGCAGUGCUGGGCUGCCUGGGCAGGCACCAACCUCUGCAGCAUACAGCAAUUAAACGAGAGCUGCUUUCAACCAGCAGUGUGGUUACCUCAGCAUACUUGGCGUGAGAAGGAAAUGAAGCUGAAGGCAUUUGGAGUCUUUCUCCCUCUGCUGUUUUUUCCAUCAGAGGACUUUGCAGUACAUCUUUCUUUGUGCACCCUGUUUUCUAGAGGCUGAAUCAAGCUCCCCUGUGCCCCCAUCUGUCAGUCACGCAGGGGACUUAUUUGGAACUACGAUGGUUUCCAUUACUGGCAACAGAGACCUCUCCCCUGCUGAGGCAGCUUCACAGCACGGAGCUGGUUGCCUUGGGAUGCACAGGCACGGUGUGCUUCAUCCAGGAGAUUUCAGAACCUACAUUCAGAGGACUGAAGCCCUGCUGAACACUCAAGGGUGAGAAUAAGUCUCAAAAACUACUUCUGAUUUAACCCCAUAACUAGAAAGCCAGGCAACUGGAAUCUAUCUGAAACUCAGCUGGUCCUAUCUAUACCUCAGGGUGAUGUCCAGCUCAGAGUCUAGCUCUGAGCACAUGAUCCACAUCAACUUUGGUGGCAAUUUUAGAAGCCGGAAGAAACAGUUGUUUUUUCCUUCCCCAAACCCCUGCGUGUUGCAUUCGGUGAUCUGCAGACAUCUGUGACAAGCUGCUGAACAAUUACACAACAUCUGGGCUUUCCUCACCUUACAUAUAGAGACAGCCUUGAUACCACAUGAAGCCACUGAACCGAGGUCAUUCAUUUCCCAACAGCAAAUUGAACUCAGCUGAGGAUGAUCUUCUUGUGGAUUCAGAAUAAAUAAAAAGCAGAGGGGGAACA